rnacentral:rRNA from 1 species
AUUGAACGCUGGCGGCAGGCCUAAUACAUGCAAGUCGAACGAGUGGCGGACGGGUGAGUAAUGUCUGGGAAACUGCCCGAUGGAGGGGGAUAACUACUGGAAACGGUAGCUAAUACCGCAUACCAUCGGAUGUGCCCAGAUGGGAUUGGCUAGUAGGUGGGGUAACGGCUCACCUAGGCGACGAUCCCUAGCUGGUCUGAGAGGAUGACCAGCCACACUGGAACUGGGCAACGGUCAAGACUCCUACGGGGGGCAGCAGUGGGGAAUAUUGCACAAUGGGCGAAAGCCUGAUGCAGACAUGCCGCGUGGAUGAAGAAGGCCUUCGGGUUGUAAAGUCCUUUGAGCGAGGAGGCGUUACUCGCAGAAAAAGCACCGGCUAACUCCGUGCCAGCAGCCGCGGUAAUAC